rnacentral:rRNA from 1 species
GACGAACGCUGGCGGCGUGCUUAACACAUGCAAGUCGAACGGGCCUGUCUUCUUUUUUGGGGGGUGGGUUGAGUGGCGAACGGGUGAGUAUCACGUGAGUAACCUGCCCUUCGGUCCUGGAUAACCGCUUGAAAGGGCGGCUAAUACGGGGUGGUCCGGUUGGUCCGCAUGGGCUGGUCGGGAUAGAUUCACUGUUUUUGGUGUUUCGGCGGGGGAUGGGCUCGCGGCCUAUCAGCUUGUUGGUGGGGUGAUGGCCUACCAAGGCGGUGACGGGUAGCCGGCCUGGGAGGGUGGGCGGCCACACUGGGACUGAGAUACGGCCCAGACUCCUGCGGGAGGCAGCAGUGGGGGGUAUUGCACAAUGGGCGGAAGCCUGAUGCAGCGACGUCGCGUGAGGGAUGGAGGCCUUCGGGUUGUGAACCUCUGUUUCCGGUGGUGAAGGCCCUGUCCGUGUGGUGGGGUUGACGGUAGCCGGGGAUGAAGCGCCGGCUAACUACGUG